GUAGUGAAUGGUAGACGGGUACACCCCGUUCUCGUAAAACGGGCAAAUGCGGGCUGCGUUCCGGCGCAUUGUCUACA
rnacentral:tRNA from 1 species